CCCUUUGCCCAUUUCUGAUUUCUCCAGAAAUCUUACUUGAUUCUUUCAGUAUUCCCGCCAAUUUGUACAUUGGAUAAUAGUCCUCUGGUUUUGCUUUCGGUUCUAAAGUCGUUAUUCUGUUGGUACCCGCAUCCCAUGUGUCGAAAGCAAAACAAAGACACGUCUACAUUGUUCUCAUUCUCACUCCCUUUUCUUCUACCAGAAUAUUGUUCUUCUUGUCUCUUGAAAGUAGCAUCCUCUGCUUUAACAUGAAUCGUCUAGUGCCGGGUUGGGGCUUCACGACUCACAACCAGCUCGAAUCAUGGAGAUUGGAGACGCUAUUGUGAUUCUCGAUCCCCAUGUCACCAAGCCUACUUAAUGCUGCAGUUGGACCCAAAUCUCCAAUCUUCGCUUGGUUUGGAUAAGGAAUAUUCAUGUGAGAGCAAAAGACGAAGUGCUCAAAGUAGCGAUGUAAGAUUUAUUGACUGAAUGCUUUCUUUCUGAUCUUCUAGUUGUAUGAAAAAACGUUACUUUUCCCAGUCUUUUUGGUAUGUUAGUUUGCUCUUUAACUUUGGGUUAUAGGAGAUUGAAGUGAUGGGGAAGAUUUGAGAAGAAAAUAGCCUUCUACUUCUCGUAAGCGUAAUAGGACUAUCGAGAUGCACAACUUGUUUGAGAGGGCGAGGAAAUGGAGAUAGCUUGAUUUUGUACCUUCAUUUUGUUUUCUUUGAUGGGUUUGUUUUUGGUAAUCAUAUUAGGGUUCUUUUGGAACAGAGAUGAAGGGAUUGAAUAAAUGAAAGGAUUAGAACCUUUCAGGAACUUGUACCCAAUUGUUUCCAUAAUUAUUUGCUUGUUAUUUUCUUAUAUUAUUUGAUUUUAGUCAAUAUAAAUAUGCCUACUGUACUAGCUUUGGAUGAAACUUUAUGGCAGUGGAAACGCGAGUAUAAACGUACAAGAUAAA